rnacentral:rRNA from 1 species
UCUGGUGGUUAUAGCGAGGGUGCAACACCCGAUCCCAUCCCGAACUCGGACGUGAAAGCCCUCUGCGCCGAUGGUACUGCGUCUUAAGGCGUGGGAGAGUAGGUCGCUGCCAGAU